rnacentral:lncRNA from 1 species
GUGCUAUGUAAAGAGUGGCUGUCUGGUCAGGCCACUGACAGAAUGAUGCCAAGGAGCAGCCUUCUGCUUACUCACCAGACGUGUGCAGAAUAGCCAGAGGAAGGGAAGUGGGCCUUCUUGGAGAAGUGAACCCCUUGAGCUGCUCCUGAGCUAGAUUCUGAUACAGACCCCAAAGGGCAAGCUGCUAUGUGAUUUAAAGUCAUGCUACCAGCAGGAGCAUAUGACCUCAUGGUAUGAAAAAGCAGGAGGAGAUUAGCAAAGAAGUUUCUAAGGCCCCCUCCUUUGCUUUCUCUACCCCCUACCUCGCCUUGGAUUUUUCUGCCUUUUCGAAGAGAGGGAGCGAGGGAGAGUGGAAGGACUCAGUGAGGAAGGAGUUAAGGGAAUGCUCACUGGGGAUUAUAAAACAGCCAGGCACUUGGAAACAGUUAAGAAGAGAGAAACAGAUCUGCCAGGAGGGAGUGUGGCACUGGAGCCGGUGGUUUAUUUUCAUGCCUCCCUACACAGCAAUGCAGACGGCUCUCCUACAAUGGGGACGGAGGAAUUUGUGAAUCUCCCUGCAAAUAAUCAGGGGAAGGAUCAGUUUAUGCCAAUGUAAGAUUCACUACCUCUGAGUAUUGUCCAUCUGCCUGUCCUAUAUCCAGCUUAUGACCAGUGAUGCCUGCAGUGCCUGACACUUGCUUUCUCUUUCCGAGAGAACAGGAGGAAAGGUGGGGCUUAUGCUCUAAGCAAAAGUCCCUGUUUGGAAUUGAGUAACAAGACUUUGUUAUGCGUUAAAGUUAAAAAUAAAUUGAUCUUGUUUAUCUGAACA